rnacentral:rRNA from 1 species
AUUGAACGCUGGCGGCAUGCCUUACACAUGCAAGUCGAACGGCAGCACGGGAGCAAUCCUGGUGGCGAGUGGCGAACGGGUGAGUAAAGUAUCGGAACGUGCCCAGUCGUGGGGGAUAACGUAGCGAAAGUUACGCUAAUACCGCAUACGAUCUAUGGAUGAAAGCGGGGGAUCGAAAGACCUCGCGCGAUUGGAGCGGCCGAUAUCAGAUUAGGUAGUUGGUGGGGUAAAGGCGCACCAAGCCGACGAUCUGUAACUGGUCUGAGAGGACGACCAGCCACACUGGGACUGAGACACGGCCCAGACUCCUACGGGAGGCAGCAGUGGGUAAUUUUGGACAAUGGGCGAAAGCCUGAUCCAGCCAUGCCGCGUGCAGGAUGAAGGCCUUCGGGUUGUAAACUGCUUUUGUACGGAACGAAAAGGUUUGGCCUAAUAAGCUGAGCUCAUGACGGUACCGUAAGAAUAAGCACCGGCUAACUACGUGCCAGCAGCCGCCGUAA